AUUUUUACCUUGUCAGCUCGGGGAUUCAAUCCAUCAAUCUUUUGUUUACUGGCCCAAUACUCUAACCACUAGGCUACCAAACUCAUCAUUUCAAAUGCAUCUAUAACAUCUGAUACAAGUAUUCUAUAUGUAUUAGGUACUACUACGGUGGUAGCAGGUGACCCCUCCUUUAAUAAUCAGAUUUCAUAAAUGUACAGGGUCCAUUUUGACCCAAGACAACAAUCCAGACUAAGAAUUUACCAAAGGUCAGAUCAUAAUGAAUACUAGUAUUAUAUGGACAGAGUCAAUAUGAUCCCAGAUCAGCACUCCUACUGGUGAAUUCUCUCUCUCCGAUAAUCCUUUCUAUAAUUUCAGAUUGACCCCCUGAUCUAUGAUUCGUAGAUGUGGGAGAGGUGAGCACCUAUCAGUUCCUGCUGCUGUCCUUCACCCCUCAGUGCAGACUUCUGACCAUCGCUUAGGCCAGGAAGAAGUCAGCCAAGUUCAUCGCCAUGCAACGCACUACUGAUUGAGGAGACCAUGAGAAGGGAGUAGGCCACCUGACCAACACCAUUGCUGUGUGUGGUUAAAACCUCUCUAGGCUAGGCGUGCCGCUAGCGACCCACCUCGACAACAUCCGGUGAAAUUGCAGAGCGCCAAAUUCAAAUGACAGAAAUAGUCAUAACAAACAUUCAUAAAAAUACAAGUGUUAUAUAUCGACAUAAAGAUUAACUUCUUCUUAAUCCAGCCGCUUUGUCAGAUUUCAAAAAGGCUUUACGGCGAAAGCAUACCAUGCGAUUAUCUGAAGAC